rnacentral:rRNA from 1 species
GACGAACGCUGGCGGCGUGCUUAACACAUGCAAGUCGAACGGAAAGGCCCUUUCGGGGGUCCACGAGCGGCGAACGGGGGAGGAACACGAGAGUAACCAGCCCACAACUAUGGGACAACGCUAGGAAAGUGGUACCAAAACUGGUAAUGGGCUCUUUCUGCAUGGGGGGGGUUGGAAAGCUCCGGGGGUUGUGGAUGGACCCGCGGCCUAUCGGCUUGUUGGUGGGGCAGUGGGCUACCAAGCCGGCGGCGGGUAGCCGGCCUGAGGGGGUGACCGGCCACAUUGGGUCUGAGGUACGGCCCCGGCUCCUACUGGAGGCCGCAGUGGGGAAUCCUGCACGAGCGGCGCCAGCCUGAUGCAGCAGCUCCGCGGGUGGGAUGACGGUCUUCGGGUUGUAAAACGCUUUCAGCAGGGACGAAGCUUUUUGUGACGGUACCUGCAGAGGAAGCCCCGGCUAACUACGUG